CACAGAGUAGCAAUACUUGGGUGGCGACCGGCAAACGGGUGCGGAACACGUACGCAACCUUCCUUCAGGCGGGGAAUAGCCCAGAGAAAUUUGGAUUAAUACCCCAUAAAAUUUGAGAUGGCAUCAUCUUAUUAUUAAAGCUUCGGCACCUGAUGAUGGGCGUGCGGCUGAUUAGGUAGUUGGCGGGGUAACGGCCCACCAAGCCUACGAUCAGUAGCUGAUGUGAGAGCAUGAUCAGCCACACGGGCACUGAGACACGGGCCCGACUCCUACGGGAGGCAGCAGUAAGGAAUAUUGGUCAAUGGACGAAAGUCUGAACCAGCCAUGCCGCGUGGAGGAUGAAGGUCCUCUGGAUUGUAAACUUCUUUUAUCUGGGACGAAAAAAGGGUUUUCUAACUCGUCUGACGGUACCAGAUGAAUAAGCACCGGCUAACUCCGUGCCAGCAGCCGCGGUAAUACGGAGGGUGCAAGCGUUAUCCGGAUUCACUGGGUUUAAAGGGUGCGUAGGCGGGCAUUUAAGUCAGUGGUGAAAUACCUGAGCUUAACUUGGGAACUGCCAUUGAUACUAUUUGUCUCGAAUGUCGUGGAGGUUAGCGGAAUAUGUCAUGUAGCGGUGAAAUGCUUAGAUAUGACAUAGAACACCUAUUGCGAAGGCAGCUAACUACGCGAAUAUUGACGCUGAGGCACGAAAGCGUGGGGAUCAAACAGGAUUAGAUACCCUGGUAGUCC
rnacentral:rRNA from 1 species